rnacentral:ncRNA from 1 species
AGUAAACCGAUGAGGAAGAGUAAGUAAACUCCGACGGACACUUCAGAGAGCUGUAGUUUGGUGCGAUACAGUGUGGAAAGCAGAGUUGAAUGGACUUCCGAGGGCGAGCAGAAUUAAAAGUAUGCAAGCCGGAGAGGGUACUUCGUUAACAAUAACCGUCGUAUAAUGGGGUACGAGCUAAGUGGACACGAAAAUGUGUCAAGCAGGGUGGCACCGCAGGAGUAUAUCUCUUGUCCCGGCA